rnacentral:piRNA from 1 species
UCACAGACUCUGGUCACAACUGCCGACUGU